UCUAACUUGCUGUAAAGGAUAUCACAAAGCUAUUAUGACGUAAAUCACACAUAAAAAACGAGAUGCCCGCCGGAAACCUGGAAAGAUGAAAUAAAGGAGAUAGUGGGGAAAGAUUAAAAUAUAGAAGCGAAGAUGAGAGACAAGUGGAAGUGUUUGGAGGAGAUCUUCACUCCGUCGGGGAUCGCGUACUAAUAUUAAAUAUAAUAAUAAAAUAAACAAUGUAAUCUUUAUUAUAGUACAUGAAUAUAGGAUUUUAUUUUUUAUUUUUA